CCUGAAGUGAUGCCAAUGCACAUGAGAACCACCUCUUUAUUUUUUCCAUCUUGAAACCUUUCAUUCACAUAUUUCAUCUGUGGACCAUCAAGAAAGAAGCAACACUAAAUACGGAGGACCUGAACCAAACUGACACCCCUGAAACAGCUGGAGUGGAGCUUCCAGGAUAAAGCAGAAUGCUGGUCUAAGAAAUCCAUUUGUG